UACGGAGGGAGCUAGCGUUGUUCGGAAUUACUGGGCGUAAAGCGCGCGUAGGCGGCUUUGUAAGUUAGAGGUGAAAGUCCAGGGCUCAACCCUGGAAUGCCGGUGGAAACUGUCGGGCUAGAGUCCGGAAGAGGAGAAUGGAAUUCCUGGUGUAGCGGUGAAAUGCGCAGAUAUCAGGAAGAACACCCGUGGCGAAGGCGGUUCUCUGGGACGGUACUGACGCUGAGACGCGAAAGCGUGGGGAGCGAACAGG
rnacentral:rRNA from 1 species